rnacentral:rRNA from 1 species
UACGUAGGGGGCAAGCGUUGUCCGGAAUCAUUGGGCGUAAAGCGCGUGUAGGCGGCCCGAUAAGUCCGCUGUGAAAGUCCAGGGCUCAACCCUGGAAUGCCGGUGGAUACUGUCGGGCUCGAGUCCGGAAGAGGCGAGUGGAAUUCCUGGUGUAGAGGUGAAAUUCGUAGAUAUCAGGAGGAACACCAGUGGCGAAGGCGGCUUCCUGGACACUAACUGACGCUGAGACGCGAAAGCGUGGGGAGCAAACAGG